GGGUUGUGAGGUUAAGCGACUAAGCGUACACGGUGGAUGCCCUGGCAGUCAGAGGCGAUGAAGGACGUGCUAAUCUGCGAUAAGCGCCGGUAAGGUGAUAUGAACCGUUAUAACCGGCGAUUUCCGAAUGGGGAAACCCAGUGUGAUUCGUCACACUAUCAUUAACUGAAUCCAUAGGUUAAUGAGGCGAACCGGGGGAACUGAAACAUCUAAG
rnacentral:rRNA from 3 species